CAGUCGCCGCGGUAAUACAGAGGGUGCAAGCGUUAAUCGGAAUUACUGGGCGUAAAGCGUGCGCAGGCGGUUAUAUAAGACAGAUGUGAAAUCCCCGGGCUCAACCUGGGAACUGCAUUUGUGACUGUAUAGCUAGAGUACGGCAGAGGGGGAUGGAAUUCCGCGUGUAGCAGUGAAAUGCGUAGAUAUGCGGAGGAACACCGAUGGCGAAGGCAAUCCCCUGGGCCUGUACUGACGCUCAUGCACGAAAGCGUGGGGAGCAAACAGGAUUAGAUACCCCAGUAGUCCCUGUCUCUUAUAU
rnacentral:rRNA from 1 species